GUGGCCAUAGUUCAAUGGCAGAACGCCGGGUUGUGAUCCCGGUCGCGAGGGUUCGAUUCCCUCUGGUCACC
rnacentral:tRNA from 1 species